AACGAACGCUGGCGGCAUGCCUAACACAUGCAAGUCGAACGAGACCUUCGGGUCUAGUGGCGCACGGGUGCGUAACGCGUGGGAAUCUGCCCUUGGGUUCGGAAUAACAGUUGGAAACGACUGCUAAUACCGGAUGAUGACGUAAGUCCAAAGAUUUAUCGCCCAAGGAUGAGCCCGCGUAGGAUUAGCUAGUUGGUGAGGUAAAGGCUCACCAAGGCGACGAUCCUUAGCUGGUCUGAGAGGAUGAUCAGCCACACUGGGACAGAGACACGGCCCAGACUCCUACGAGAGGCGGCAAUGGGGAAUUUUGGACAUUGGGCGAAAGCCUGAUCCAGCAAUGCCGCGUGAGUGAUGAAGGCGUUAGGAUUGUAAAGCUCUUUUCCCCGGGAUGAUAAUAACAUUACCGGGAGAAUAAGCUCCGCUAACUUCGGU
rnacentral:rRNA from 1 species